ACUUCCAAACCCCGCGGUCCGCGGCGGCCCCGGUUCGCGGCCUGUGGCGCUUGGAGGUCCCUGCGCGGGAGCGGUCGGCUGGGCAGGGGCCCGAGAGCAAACCGGCCCUCCAUUCGCGCCUAAGGCGCAAGGGAGUCCUGCUAGAACCUUUCCCCAGCCUGGAGAGCCAGCUGCACCAAGUGCUUCACUGAGGAUGGACACAGCGAAGACAGGCAGAUCCAGGCCCACUGCCAUAAAUGACAGCAAAUAAACUGAAAGUCCUUCUUGUUCUGACUCAAAUUCUGGGCCAAAGUAAGGACAGAGGGGACUCACCCACUUCUGCCUUUAUGGUCACAGAGAGGCCAAGAGCACCCAGAGGAAGGUCCCAGCUGUCCUGCAGAGUUCUGAAGCACUGCCUCUCUGCCCUCCAUGGGUGCAAGAAACAAGUCCCAAUCAUU